AUUUUAAAGGGCAGCGGCGGCCUCCUUGCAUCGGCUCGCCCACUGUUUCGUGCCAGUCGUUCUUGUUUAUUUUCGCCGGCGCAGAUUCAAAAAUGGCCACGGGAGACAUAAGAAACAACCUCAAGAUGCUCAGCGCAGAAAUCCGAAGUGUCAAAACACCGUCGGCUCUUGUAAACCUCGAAGGGAUGAUGAAUGGUGACCCAGAGGUCUACCUGCCAAUCUACGACUACCUGUUUCAGUGGUAUAACACACGCUUGGCCAAUGAAAUUUUACGGAGAGACCUGAAGCUGCCCCCGUACAAGCACAACAGGACAAAGUUCCUUGAAACCAUGUACCUAGUGCUGCGGGAGCUGUUCCAGUGGAAGCCUCCACUGAGUAGUUCGCAGUUCUUCUCAUCUGGCUUUGCUGAGAAGAAGAUAAUCAUGUGCAGGGACAUUGUGAAGCUAAUUAAAGAGUACAGCAGCUCUCAGAAGUCGGCCAGCCAAGCUGCUACAAGCCCUGCCAGCACAGCAUCAAGGCCGAAGGCCCAAAAAGUGCCUGCUGCCAAAUCCAGUGCUGCUGUGACAAAGGCCAGCUUGCAACCAGCAGCUCCCACCAAUGGUGCUGUCAGCAGAGAGAAGCGUAUGUGCAGGCGCCAUGGAUUUCUACAUGUUUGUUUUGUUUGCUUGCUUGUGCGGUGUUGCCUUGUGCCCCUUUCUUUCAUUCUUUUGUGUUUCUUUUCUCGUAGUUUCAAAACUUUUCUUCAUAUUUACAAAUGGGCAUCCACUCAAAGCUCCUCCUCAACUCCACCAAAUGCAGCACGGCACCACGCCCACCCCUCAACUGAAGAAGACGCUGCCCACUCCUCAAUGAUUCCUAUGAAGACAAAGAGUUGCUCGAAAAAUGCACUUUCACUGCAGUGCAUUUGGGCAGAUGCCAAAAGCAUCCGAUUACACAAUUUUCACCCGGGAAUCACCGCAAAGUGUCAUUGAAGCACAAUGACCACUUUCUUGAGCCAAAAAGAGUGUCAAAUGCAGGAACGUCUUAGAAUACAGUGGUUAGUCUUGAUUGUUACACGUGCAUUCUUCACUGAACAGCAACAACAAAAGCAUUAGCAGUUUGCGUGUUCAAAGAAAAGACACCAAGAUUUUAAUAGGGACAUCAUUUUUUUUUUUUUGAAUUAUGCAUUAGAAACUUGGAUUAUCCAAAGUUGAUCGAACUUAGACCCAGAACACAACUGCAAGUUAUACCAAGUGGACGUGCACACAUGCACAGAGAGAGACAGAUAGAUAGAUCCUGGUUGUCAAAGCUACAAGUGUGCUGCAAGGUUGGGUUAUACAGUUUGCACCCUGAGUAUCAAACAUUGAAUUCUGAUCCUUCAUGCCUUAUGGAUGUCCUCUGAGCACAUGUAUCUGGCCUUGUUGCUGUUUUCUGUAAAGCCAAAGUGUUUGAAAUAGUUGUAUUUAAAGGAAAGGUUUGUAUGAAUUAAGCAACUUCAGAAUGCAAAGAAAAUAUUGUGGGCUUUGUUAUUUGUUUAAAACUGAAAUUUUUUAUUAUUGUGGGCCAACUGUAUACAGUGCAAUUCUGUGCCAACUAGUUCUUGCAGUUUGAUAUUGUCUUCCUUUGUUAAGUCAUCUUUUUAAUUUUUUUUAAGCACCAUCAUCCAAGGCUGUGCUCAGUGCAAAAAUAGACACACUGCUGCACCAUCUGAUGGAAGUUCAAAGCAGUGUCAAGGCCCUGAAGGAGCAAAUGUUGCUGGUCAUGAACCAGACUGAGACCAUGCUGGACCAAGUGCUGCCG